GACCGUCAAUGGAGCAGAGGCGGGGAAGGAGUCACGGGGCGCGCACGCCGGGGAAGACUACAAGGUGCAGAUUGAUGAGUAUGAUCACUCCAAGCCCAUCCAGGGGCAACAGAAGAAGCCCUUUGAGGUGCACUGGAGGAAGCACACCCUGUCCUAUGUGGACGUCGGCACUGGGAAGGUCACUGUGGAAUAUAGACCCAUAAUUGACAAAACUUUGAACGAGGCUGACUGUGCCACUGUCCCCCCAGCCAUUCACUCCUACUGAUGAGACAAGAUGUGGUGAUGACAGAAUCAGCUUUUUGCACAGCCAGAGGACAACACAUCACACACAAGAAACAGUUGUGCUCAUGUGAUGGGGGCCUCAGCACUAGGAAGGAGUGGACUGUUGGCGCACGCAGCAGCUUGAAUAAAUCUGAAAGUCACUACGCUGCGUAAGAGAAGCCAAAUAAAGCGCAUGCUGUGUACAGAGGGUGUCGAGAAUGCCUCCUACGUGACGGAAAGCAGAUCCGUGGUUCCCUGCAGACUGGCAGGAGCAGAUUCCAAAGGCACAGGAAGAAGCUUGCAGGUUGCCUGUUCACUCUGCCUGGUCAUAUGCAGAAAACCGAAACUAGACCCCUUGCUGACACUUAUACAAAAAUUAACUCAAGAUGCAUUAAAGAUUUAAACGUGAGACCUAAAACCAGAAAAAUCCUAGAAGAAAACCUAGGCAACACCAUUGAGGACGUAAGC
rnacentral:lncRNA from 10 species